AGGAACUUAGGUUAAUAAAAGACCAAGAGCCUUCAAAGCUCUAAGUAAAUGUAGUACAUUUAGUUUCUG
rnacentral:tRNA from 1 species